rnacentral:rRNA from 1 species
UACGUAGGGGGCAAGCGUUGUCCGGAAUUAUUGGGCGUAAAGCGCGUGUAGGCGGUCCGGUAAGUCCGCUGUGAAAGUCGAGGGCUCAACCCUCGAAUGCCGGUGGAUACUGUCGGGCUUGAGUACGGGAGAGGCGAGUGGAAUUCCUGGUGUAGCGGUGAAAUGCGCAGAUAUCAGGAGGAACACCGAUUGCGAAGGCAGCUCGCUGGAACGUUACUGACGCUGAGACGCGAAAGCGUGGGGAGCAAACAGG